AUUUAUAAUAAAUUACUUUUCAAUUAAUCUCUUUGAUAAUUAUUAUUUGUCGACGAGCCAAAUCGGUCAAUUAGUCUUAAUUAUAAAAGCUCAUAGAUUUGAAAGUUGUAUAAUCUGACUGAAAUAUGUGUUUUACGCCAGCAAGUCUGUUGACAUUAAACGCUGCUUAUUGCUUGUCGUAACUAUUUAUUCAAGGGGAAUUUCCUAAUACAUAAUUAUCAUCAGACAUUCUAUUCAAGGAAGUACUACAGUACCAUAAUAGAUUUACUGGUAUUCUAAUUAUAUAAUUUGAAUUUUACCACUAUGACAUGCUCUUUGGUUAUAAGGGCUCAUGCUAUUUGGAUAUUACCUACUUAUAUCAUACUUGCUUCUUCAAACAAGCGUAAUACUUGUGCUAGAAUGUGUGCAAUAAAUGAAUUUGAAACCUACGAUAUUUUGGAUUUCAAAUCGCCCACUGACCAACAAUUUAGCUAGAAAAGUAACAAAUUAAAAGUAACAAAAUAAUUCAAUGUUUAAACAAUCCAAUGUACUAGACGUUAGAGGUUGUUUGAAAUACUAAUUUUAUGAGGUAUCUACUUUGUUCCCUUGUAAAAGAAAAUUGACUUCUUAUCACAUCACACUAAUAUGAUAAAGGAGAAAGUUUGUAUGUGUGUGUGUAUGUGUGUAUGUUU